UGGCUCAGUGGUUAAGAGCACUUGACUGCUCUUCCAGAGGUCCUGAGUUCAAAUCCCAG
rnacentral:tRNA from 1 species